rnacentral:tRNA from 1 species
AGGGGGAGAGCUCAGUAGUAGAGCAUGUGCUUAGCAUGCACGAGGGCCUGGGUUCAAUCCCCAGUCCCUCCA